UACGUAGGGGGCAAGCGUUGUCCGGAAUCAUUGGGCGUAAAGAGCGUGUAGGCGGCUCGGUAAGUCCGCUGUGGAAAGUCCAGGGCUCAACCCUGGAAUGCCGGUGGAAACUGUCGAGCUAGAGUCCGGAAGAGGCGAGUGGAAUUCCUGGUGUAGCGGUGAAAUGCGCAGAUAUCAGGAGGAACACCAAUGGCGAAGGCAGCUCGCUGGGACGGUACUGACGCUGAGACGCGAAAGCGUGGGGAGCAAACAGG
rnacentral:rRNA from 1 species